UACGUAGGGUGCGAGCGUUGUCCGGAAUUACUGGGCGUAAAGAGCUCGUAGGUGGUUUGUCGCGUCGUCUGUGAAAUUCCGGGGCUUAACCUCGGGCGUGCAGGCGAUACGGGCAAUACUUGAGUGCUGUAGGGGAGACUGGAAUUCCUGGUGUAGCGGUGAAAUGCGCAGAUAUCAGGAGGAACACCGAUGGCGAAGGCAGGUCUCUGGGCAGUAACUGACGCUGAGGAGCGAAAGCAUGGGUAGCGAACAGGAUUAGA
rnacentral:rRNA from 1 species